rnacentral:lncRNA from 10 species
AAAAAACAAAACAAAACAUGUUUUUGUUUGUUGAAGGACAAGCCAGAAGGAGGCUGCGGUGGAGGCGGAGCGGUGGGGAGGGUUCUGCCCUGGAAUUUGGCUGCAUCUGGUGAAGCUCAUUGUCUUCGAGGUGUUUUUUUUUUUUCAUGUGAAAAUACAGGAAGGCUGUUUUCAGUGGAUCUUUUGUCCUCAAUCCAAAAGGUGUUUUUCUCCUCUAAGAAAGCAAAGUGCAUGUUCUGCCUGGUCCCUAUUGUGGAGCUGGCCCAGCGUGGAUGGCUUAACUGGACUGACCUGCUGUGAGCAGCCGGCCGCACUGCAACUCCCACUCACUCAGCCAAGAGAGGCUAUGGGGACCCAAGCCCUGCUUUGAGAGAGACUGUCUGAGGUGGCUAUACAGAGCCCGGGGCCCUGCUGGUGGCAGUGACAUGGCUGAAAUGGGGUUGCCACUCAAUUAGGUCACAGGAUUCUGCCCCCAGGGGUCCUGACUCUGUCAGAAGAGUCCACUGGAGUGUGACGAGGGGUGCCUGUCAUCAGAACCCAGCCUGGGCAGGGCCUUCUGCCAAUGCCUCUCAUAAGCAGAGCAAACACUGGGCCACAGAGCUGGGACCUCAUGAAUGGGACAGGCAAGACAGGUGGGGAGUGGUGUGAGGCCUUGGUCCAUUUCAUUGCUGACAUUAGCCCUGCACCAGCGGGAGAACGUUUCUUCCUUUAAUCACCCCAAGAUUAGCCUGCAGUUGCCUCUUUCUGUUGGAUAUUUGAAUAACAAGCUUGAUGAGGCCACUUAACUCCCUCCAAUUACAGCUAAAGAUUUCCUAGAUGAAAGACCUUGAUCCACUGCCUUUCAUGAUUCAGCACUGGAUUUUCUGUUCCAUGCAGCCUUCUAUUGGAAUAAUUUUGUGAAAUGAAGGCAACAAAGUAUUGUUUUCUUAAUCAAAGAGAACUUCAUAAAAAUUGUGCUCCUUGACUGCUAAUUUGUCCUGCAUUGUUACCGAUGCUUUUCUUAUGAUUUUUGUUUUGCACUGAACAGCCCCCUGGCUGAGAGAAAACCCCGAAGCAGUUAAGAUACCAGGAAAGGAAGACUUGAAAAUUGGUUAGUGAAGAUUCUGAGUAUUUCCUGGUGCGUCUGGGAAUUUUGUUUGUUUUUUGUGGUGAUAUUUCUUUCUCUCUGUAUGUCUCUGUCUCUCUGUCUCUAUCUGCAUCUCUGCCCUUGUUAGAAGGGACUAAUUAGAAUGGCACAAACACGUUAGAAUUGGAGAUCAUUGUUGCAAAGGCCCUUAGGAAGAGGGGGGCAGUUUUGGUCCAUUCUGAAGGCUAUCAAGGCGGUUUCCAGCUUGCUCUUGGCACGAAAAGGAAUAACCAGGGCCAUUUUAAUGCCAUGGGCAGGGAAAGCAUGAUGCAAAGCUUUUGGAGGGGCCACCGGGUAACAACAGGAGAGCACCAGAACUCACGGAGAGAGCAGAGGUUGAGGAAGCCUGGCGCCCCAGCGACAAAGCAGUGUCCCCGACAAAAGAAAGAUUCAAUCUUGGAAACAGAAACAUGAAGUGAAUGUUUAAUACCAUGGUCCAAGAAGAUGGCAUUUUCUGUGACUGGAACAAUGCAGAAUUAAUGUGUAUCUGCAAGAAAUAUCAUUAAGAUUAAGUAUUCUUCAGAGAGAUUGGAGAAUCGGGGAAUUCAAGUGCGUUUGUUGGCUUGAGCCAGCCCUCCGCUACCUGACCCAUCUGCAGGCAGAAAGGGCAUCCACCAAGUGAGUCUUUCUCAGUAGAGGAGGCAGUGUGCUGUUAUAUGCUGAUGCAGCUCCUUGUCUUGGACUCAUAACUGACAGAACAGCAUGUGGACCUCACCGCUCCUUGGACUUCGAGUGGCGCUACUCUAACGCUGAGUCCUGACCUGGAUCCCUGUUUGCUUGCCUAGACCUAAGGCGGUGGUGCAGACCUUCCCCCACCCCACAUACCAUCGCCUUCUGGAAUGUGGCUUUGUGGAACUGAGGCUGAGACAAUCACAGUGCCCCAUUCUUCUGGUCAUGUGACAGGUCUGGACCUGGUCAUGUGGCAAAGUCGAAUCUAAGUCACAUCAAAGCAGGGAGAGUUAAAGCAAAUCUUUUCUCUCUUGUUGUGGAGCUGGAAUAUGAGCCCAGAAGCUUCCAGAACACAUGGUCCUGCCCUCAUAAAGAAGCUCAAGUGAGGGAACAAAAUCGACUUAGGUAGCAGCGAGCAUGGAUGGGGCCUGGCUACAUCAAGUUCUCAGAUCCUGUUGUCCCCACCCACCCCCUGUAACUUGCCAAUUUUAUCCAUCAAGCAUCCUCUCCUCUCUCCCAACUUGUCUGAGUUCUGUUUCUGUCAUUGUCACCAAGAGAGCUUUGAUGAGUAAGAAAUCCCAACAUUCCACGGGAGUCUUGGUGGUUUAAAUUUUUAAGUGAGUCCUCACUUGUUAAAGUCUUAUUCCUGUUAGAGGGCACUUCCAUAGUCCAGAAGGUGGGGAAUUCCUAUAGGUGACCUGUGGUCUCUCUAAGCAAUUUGACCAGGACUAUUUAAUAAAAUAUUUUAAAAAUGGUUCCUUUUAAUUAUUCAUUUUCAAAUGUAUAUUUGUUCUUGGCAAACAAGAGAUGAUUUGCGUUAAUCAGUGAUCUUUAAGCAAAUUCCUUGCAAUACUUUAUCUCCAUAUAAACUCGAAGCUUCUUAAAUGAAAUAGUACCUGUGUAUUUCAUAUGGCUUCCUCUUUUAUAAAUAAAAUGAAUGGACUUGGGACCAAAACAGAAUUUUUUUUUUCGGGAACUAUAGGACUGGAAUCUUUUUAUCCAAGGCAGUUGGAUCCCACAGUACAUUUUCACUGUAACAGACAAUGAGGUUGAGUCAAUAAAUAAAUAAAUAAAGUCACCAACAUGUCCAAAAGCCUCCAUUUAAAACUCAAAGCCAGUGGUUUUGGGUUUCACCUUUUCCUUUAAAAUUAAAUUCCCUGAAACCAUAUUUUAAAAAUGCUAUCUGAAUGGGAACCGCCAAACUGGGAAACUUUAAGUUUAAAAAUAGAACUGCAUCUGAAUUAUCUUAUAGAAAUUUGUCUUCUAACCAGCCAUCAGUAACUGUAAGCAUGCUUCAUAGAUCUACAUAUUUCAGCACUUUUUACAUUCUGAAAGAAUCUUGCUUAGAUACGAAGGUUAACUGGACACCUUUUUCUGCAUUCACCUUUAAUACUGGAUGCCCCCUUUAUCUGCACUCCCAAGCUGGGAAGCCCCAGAGUGGGCUCUUGGCCCCUUGCGGCCAACUGAAGUUCUCCAUCUCUGCAGCCUCCGUGAUCACCUUAAGAAUAGGCUCGCGACCUCCUUUGGGCCACACAGAGUCCUUCUCAGGGCUUGCGCUGGAGCUCUCAGGAGGGAUGCUCGCUUUCUCACUGAUCAGGAACUCUAAGGACCAAAGCCUGGAGUGAGGAUGUGAUCUGCUUGCAAGCGAAGGAGGCAGGAGGCAGCCGGACUCGAGGGCACACAUGACCUGGCAGGGCUGAACCUCAGGCUCCGGUGAGGCUGGCUCCUGACUGCCCCUCUGGACUUUCUCAGUUAUUUCAGGCCAUGGAUUAUCUUUAGUGCUUAAGCUAGUUUGAGUUGUGUUUCUGCCACUCAUAAUUCAGAGAAUCCUGGUGGCUUCAGUGUGAUCAGGAAGACAUUGGGAGCCAUUUUAGUUUUUACUUAACUUUUCCAAACUUGCUAGACAGGCUGAUUAUGGGUCUGUGCUAGUCUGGGAACCUGUGUUUGCUCUCUUAAGCCAUGGGUCUUAGACUCAUUUCCUGUUGCAAACAGGAUGCACUGCACAUUUUUACUGUGUUUUUGCUGCCCAUAAGUGGGAGGCAGAUUCGAAUGAUAGAAUUGGAAAGGUUCCAAAAGCACCAGCCAUGGUAGGGACCCUGAAGAUUGCAAGAUAAACAAAAGCAUUCAGAACUUGUGAUGGGAGUGUGAGAGGAUUGAGCGUUGAAGUCAGCCUAACAGAGGCUGUCGUUUACCCGGUGAAAUCCUCAAGUUACAAACAGCUGCUGUGCAAUUGGAAGUCACAGUCUUCAGUUAGGCUUGAUUUGUCAUUUGGUUUAUAAAUAAGCUUUCAUUUUGUCUUUUUUUUUUUUUUUUUUUGGUCUGGCAAUGUGGUAUCUCUUCCUUGCAGGAUUUGGGAAGCUGGGAAUAUGUGUGACCCACACUACCUGAGGGUGAUAGACUUUGACAGUGUCUCCAGCAUUUUCAUGUUGAAAUCUGCUUUAUCCUAAUUUCCAGUCUUGGUCUUGUCUGUCACAGGCUGGGGAGAAGAGCACCGUCCAGAGAAGGACCCAAUAAGGGACAUUUCCACCUUGCUUAGUGGGUUGAGGGCUGGGCUUUGGGUUUGAGAUGUGAAGAGAAAGAAGCUACGUGGAAGAGAAAGGAUGGAGGUACAAGGACGCCCUCCAGCCGGCUACACUUCUGAAACUAAAACAUACAAAACUCAGUGGCUUUUCCUCAACUCCUAUGAUGGAUGUGCAAGGACGCCCUCCAGCUGGCUGCAUUUCUGAUGCUAAAAAUACAAAACUCAGCAGCUUUGCCCAUACUCCUAUGAUGCCUG